AUGAACGCUAGCUACAGGCUUAACACAUGCAAGUCGAGGGGCAGCAUGGUCUUAGCUUGCUAAGGCCGAUGGCGACCGGCGCACGGGUGAGUAACACGUAUCCAACCUGCCGUCUACUCUUGGACAGCCUUCUGAAAGGAAGAUUAAUACAAGAUGGCAUCAUGAGUCCGCAUGUUCACAUGAUUAAAGGUAUUCCGGUAGACGAUGGGGAUGCGUUCCAUUAGAUAGUAGGCGGGGUAACGGCCCACCUAGUCUUCGAUGGAUAGGGGUUCUGAGAGGAAGGUCCCCCACAUUGGAACUGAGACACGGUCCAAACUCCUACGGGAGGCAGCAGUGAGGAAUAUUGGUCAAUGGGCGAGAGCCUGAACCAGCCAAGUAGCGUGAAGGAUGACUGCCCUAUGGGUUGUAAACUUCUUUUAUAAAGGAAUAAAGUCGGGUAUGCAUACCCGUUUGCAUGUACUUUAUGAAUAAGGAUCGGCUAACUCCGUGCCAGCAGCCGCGGUAAUACGGAGGAUCCGAGCGUUAUCCGGAUUUAUUGGGUUUAAAGGGAGCGUAGAUGGAUGUUUAAGUCAGUUGUGAAAGUUUGCGGCUCAACCGUAAAAUUGCAGUUGAUACUGGAUAUCUUGAGUGCAGUUGAGGCAGGCGGAAUUCGUGGUGUAGCGGUGAAAUGCUUAGAUAUCACGAAGAACUCCGAUUGCGAAGGCAGCCUGCUAAGCUGCAACUGACAUUGAGGCUCGAAAGUGUGGGUAUCAAACAGGAUUAGAUACCCUGGUAGUCCACACGGUAAACGAUGAAUACUCGCUGUUUGCGAUAUACGGCAAGCGGCCAAGCGAAAGCGUUAAGUAUUCCACCUGGGGAGUACGCCGGCAACGGUGAAACUCAAAGGAAUUGACGGGGGCCCGCACAAGCGGAGGAACAUGUGGUUUAAUUCGAUGAUACGCGAGGAACCUUACCCGGGCUUAAAUUGCAGAUGAAUUACGGUGAAAGCCGUAAGCCGCAAGGCAUCUGUGAAGGUGCUGCAUGGUUGUCGUCAGCUCGUGCCGUGAGGUGUCGGCUUAAGUGCCAUAACGAGCGCAACCCUUGUUGUCAGUUACUAACAGGUUCUGCUGAGGACUCUGACAAGACUGCCAUCGUAAGAUGUGAGGAAGGUGGGGAUGACGUCAAAUCAGCACGGCCCUUACGUCCGGGGCUACACACGUGUUACAAUGGGGGGUACAGAAGGCAGCUACACGGCGACGUGAUGCUAAUCCCGAAAGCCUCUCUCAGUUCGGAUUGGAGUCUGCAACCCGACUCCAUGAAGCUGGAUUCGCUAGUAAUCGCGCAUCAGCCACGGCGCGGUGAAUACGUUCCCGGGCCUUGUACACACCGCCCGUCAAGCCAUGAAAGCCGGGGGUACCUGAAGUGCGUAACCGCGAGGAGCGCCCUAGGGUAAAACUGGUGACUGGGGCU
rnacentral:rRNA from 1 species